UACGAAGGGGGCUAGCGUUGUUCGGAAUUACUGGGCGUAAAGCGCGCGCAGGCGGUUUCUCAAGUCAGUGGUGAAAGCCCGGAGCUCAACUCCGGAACUGCCAUUGAAACUGUGAAACUUGAGGACGAGAGAGGUGAGUGGAAUUCCCAGUGUAGAGGUGAAAUUCGUAGAGAUGUGGAGGAACACCAGUGGCGAAGGCGACUCUCUGGUCUGUAACUGACGCUGAGGAGCGAAAGCGUGGGGAGCGAACAGG
rnacentral:rRNA from 1 species